AAUGAACGCUGGCGGCAUGCCUAAUACAUGCAAGUCGAGCGAACGGACGGGGCUCUUUCUCCGCUUCCGCUACCGACGGACGGGUAAGUACUACGUAGCUAACCUACCUAUAGGGCUAGCGUAAGUUCACGGGACCUGAUCCAGCAUCCGACCUUAUAUUGAACGUGAUGGAUCAACAGUCAAAAAGCUUUUUGCUGUGCCUAAUACAUAUAUCCGCGUCGCAUUAGCUAGUUGGUACGGUAACGGCUUACCAAGGCUACGAUGCGUAGCCGAUCUGAGAGGGUGAUCAGCCACACUGGAACUGAGACACGGUCCAGACUCCUACGGGAGGCAGCAGUAGGGAAUAUUGCACAAUGGGCGAAAGCCUGACCGAGCAACGCCGCGUGAGUGAAGAAGGUCUUCGGAUUGUAAAGCUCUGUUAGUUGGGAAGAACAAAAGUGUAUGUAUCUAUGCAUGUCUUGACGGUACCUACACAGAAAGCAACGGCUAACUACGUG
rnacentral:rRNA from 1 species